CAUUGUUUCAAAGUAACAAGUGUGAUAAUUGAAGGGAUGGUGUACAGGCUUCUACAAGCUACACUGUGAAUGAGAUGGUGUCCUCUCACCACGGCCCUUUCCACCUCCUCUCCACCCUUCUGGAGCCACUUGAGGCAUUGACCCUCACCUCCAGGGAAGCAGGAAAAGUGUGGAGUCUGAUAGAUAAAAACCAAUUCUAUUUCAUCCUCUGUGUCAGUGAUUGAUUCAGAAAUCCAGGCCUAAGUCAAUCAGGACAUGGCAUUUGCCUAGAGAUAAAGAA
rnacentral:lncRNA from 1 species